ensembl:lncRNA
GGGGCGGAGAAGGGGGCGCGCUCCCCAACCCCUGGCAGCACCCGCGGCCCGUGGGGUUCGCUCCUCGCCCCAUCCCCACGCCCGCCCAGCCGACCCCACCUCGCCGGGCCUGUUGUUUGCGUGGGGGAGAGAGUGCAGAGGCCGGGUGACUCGUGUUGAAGGAGAAGGCAACAAAAAAAUUUUUUAAAAAGGAACAGAUGACUUCAUUCUCCUCGGGAAGGCUCUGUCCUACGUGGACAAUUUCCUGGGGACUGUGGUGGAACAGCCCCGUUGCCGCUGGAAGCACACGAAACUAAACCAGAAAAAAACCAAAAAAUUCUCGGUCUUGCCUGAAACCCAGCCAGGGGAGGCUGGUGGCGCGUGAACCGCGAGGAGGGUCGAAUUCUUCCGCUUGCGCUUGGGGCUUGGCUUCCAACAAACCUCCCCACUUAAAACUCCUGUACCCUGAGAGAGUGAGCAAGUGGCCCAACGUCACACAGCCAGGUUUCAUUCUGCCCAGACACCUGCAGGGACAAACCCAGCAGAGACCGGGGAGCAGAGCCAGUGUUUGGACCCGGGGCCUCGGAAGAGGGGUGAGGCUCAGCUCGAGGCCAGGCGAGGGGAGAUGAACUCGGCAGAGUCUCUCUGGUUCCUGAGUGGAUCACAGCCUGGAGAAGCCUGCGGAAAGGUGGGAGAAGUCAGAGGCUGGUGGAGUCCAGGCGAGAGACAAUGCUGGCCUGGCUGGGGACAGCAACAGUGGGAGAGACAGACAUGGCUGAAUUCAGGGUUUCUUUCAAGUAGAGUCAUCAGGAUUUGCCAAAGGAUCGGAUGUGGGGGUGGAAGAAAGAGAAAAGUCAAGGAUGACUGCCGUGGCACGAACAGUGGGAGGUACCAUUUCCCAAGAUGAAGAAGACUAUAGGAGAAGUGGGGGUGGGGCAGGGGGUAUCAAGGGUUGGCAUCUGCACACGGGAUGUCUGCAAAGCCUAUCUGAUACUCACAUAUUGUGUGCUUAGAGCUCUCAGCUGUCAUUUAAUCCACACCACAGAAAGAGACUGAGGCACAGAAAACAAACCUAUGGCUACCAAAGGGGAAAGGCUGGGAGGGGUAAAUUAGGAGGUUGGGAUUAACGUAC